GAUGAACGCUGGCGGCGUGCUUAACACAUGCAAGUCGAACGAGAAGUGGAGACGGAAACCUUCGGGCGGAAGACUUUAUUUCGAGUGGCGGACGGGUGAGUAACGCGUGGGUAACCUGCCUCAUACAGGGGGAUAACAGUUGGAAACGACUGUUAAUACCGCAUCAGACCACAGCACCGCAUGGUGCGGGGGUAAAAACUCCGGUGGUAUGAGAUGGACCCGCGUUCGAUUAGCCAGUUGGCGGGGUAACGGCCCACCAAAGCGACGAUCGAUAGCCGAUCUGAGAGGAUGACCGGCCACAUUGGGACUGAGACACGGCCCAAACUCCUACGGGAGGCAGCAGUGGGGAAUAUUGCACAAUGGGGGAAACCCUGAUGCAGCGACGCCGCGUGAGUGAAGAAGUAUUUCGGUAUGUAAAGCUCUAUCAGCAGGGAAGAAAAUGACGGUACCUGAGGAAGAAGCCCCGGCUAACUACGUG
rnacentral:rRNA from 1 species